rnacentral:piRNA from 1 species
UGCGAGAACUACAUGCGCUGCGUGUC